GAUGAACGCUAGCGAUAGGCUUAACACAUGCCAGUCGAGGGGCAGCAUGGUCUUAGCUUGCUAAGACUGAUGGCGACCGGCGCACGGGUGCGUAACGCGUAUGCAACUUGCCUCACAGAGGGGGAUAACCCGUCGAAAGACGGACUAAUACCGCGUACACUCCAUCUUGGGCAUCCAAGGUAGAGGAAAUGAAAUUCGCUGUGAGAUAGGCAUGCGUCCCAUUAGCUAGUUGGUGAGGUAACGGCUCACCAAGGCGACGAUGGGUAGGGGAACUGAGAGGUUGAACCCCCACACUGGUACUGAGACACGGACCAGACUCCUACGGGAGGCAGCAGUGAGGAAUAUUGGUCAAUGGGCGAGAGCCUGAACCAGCCAAGUCGCGUGAAGGAUGACUGUCUUAUGGAUGGUAAACUUCUUUUAUACGGGAAUAACAAGAGUCACGUGUGACUCCCUGCAUGUACCGUAUGAAUAAGCAGCGGCUAACUCCGUG
rnacentral:rRNA from 1 species